GACGAACGCUGGCGGCGUGCUUAACACAUGCAAGUCGAACGGAAAGGCCCUGCUUUCGUGGGGUGCUCGAGUGGCGAACGGGUGAGUAACACGUGAGUAACCUGCCCUUGACUUUGGGAUAACUUCAGGAAACUGGGGCUAAUACCGGAUAGGAGCUCCUGCUGCAUGGUGGGGGUUGGAAAGUUUCGGCGGUUGGGGAUGGACUCGCGGCUUAUCAGCUUGUUGGUGGGGUAGUGGCUUACCAAGGCUUUGACGGGUACCCGGCCUGAGAGGGUGACCGGCCACAUUGGGACUGAGAUACGGCCCAGACGCCUACGUGAGGCAGCAGUGGGGAAUAUUGCACAGUGGGCCGAAGCCUGAUGCAGCAACGCCGCGUGCGUGAUGACGGCUUGCGGGUUGUAAACCGCUUUCGCCUGUUACGAAGCGUGAGUGACGGUAAUGGGUAAAGAAGCACCGGCUAACUACGUG
rnacentral:rRNA from 1 species